UGCUCAACCACUGAGCCAACACUGGUGGGGCUGCCUUCCCCUUUUUAAAGUUAAGUUUUCUUUCCAGUGGAUUGAUCAUGCUUACUGUAAAAGUUUGUUGACCUUUUCUCUUAUGUUGCAGUUAAUGUUUGCUAAAUCUUUAAAUUUUUUGUGUGUACAUAAAAAGAGCCCUUACUCACCAUAGAACAUUUUAGCCUCUUUGCAGGAGAGACCUUUAGAGUUUGAAGGUAGUGUCCAGUGGGAACACUGUGUCUUUGAUGGUGAAUGUCACAGGGGUACGGUUUUUCUCCCUGGAGGGUGACUUUGCUUUCAUCAUGACCCAUCAGACCCGAGUAUCUGGCUCUGCCUAGUCAUGUGCGUGGGUGUGCACUCCUGUCUGGUCCGCCGGGCUUGGGGAGUGAUUGUGACCCUGCCCCGAGAGCCUGCUGGAGAGGGCUGGCCGACUCGCCGGUCCUGCCGUGAGUCCCUCAGGCUGGGGAGGGACGACAGAUGGUUGAGCUAAACUCGGAGCCACCUCUCUACGUCACGAUGAAAAAUGACCAGCCAUCGGUAAGUGGAAAUCAGAGCCCAUGCACGUUUCAAGUCUGACAAACAGGGCGUUGAAACAAACAGGGAGUGAAGAAGGGGAGGAAAUCCUUUCAUAAGUGACCAGCCUGUCUUUGUUGGUACUUUCUGUACUUACUAGUAGGAAAAUUCCUCAUGUACAUAUUUGUUCAUCUGUACAGUCAAUAUGCAUGGACUGUUGGGACUGAGCACUAAUCCUCUGUGCCCUUUAGGAUAUAAAUAACCUCUCUAAAAGCCGAAACUGUGAGGCUGGAUCCCAAUACAGAUGCAGAGUUGCAUUCUGUACUGUAUGAGCAGCAUGAGGCCCUCCCUGCUCACGGCCCUUCAAGGUUGUCUGCCUCCCAUGACUCAUGCGGAGGCCAUGGCAUCUGCAACCCUAGUGGCCUAGGCUUUUGCACCAGUGGUACCCGAUUCAGACAGUCUGUCAGCGGGCUAGCCAGGGAAAGCUACAGAGUGGAAGCAAGUUGGUAGAGGGCAGAAAAGCAGGUGGGCAGAGUAGCUGAGUCCCAGCAGUCAUGGCAUAUGAAUGAAGACUCUUGAACUUGGGCUGCCUAACUAACCCCUGGAAGAUCCCUAUCUUCCUCAUUACCAUUCACAUCCUAUGAUGACACUUGUUUAAGCUGGCCUGCGCAAGGUGCUGUCCAUGGUACUGGAGCACAGCCAAUGUGCAUGAGUCAGAAGGCUUGGCUUUAAAGCCAGCUGCCCCUUCCCAUUGAUGAGUUUUGGGGUGGGGUCCUUGCCCUCUGUAAGCAUCAGUUUUCUUCCCCUAUAAAAUGAGAUAAGAGUACCUGCUUCAGAGUGUUAAUACGUAACAGUUGAGGCCCUUAGCGUAGUGCCUGGUACAUAGUAUGUGCUCAAAAAAGAUUAGCCGCUGCUAUUAUUAUUACUAUUUUUAUUGUCAUCACUCAAAGGGAACUAAUGACUAUAUUUCCCUAUGCUGAGAGAGUAGGAAGCCCCAGGGCCAUCAUUAUUCAGAUCUUGACCUCUGCUAGGAUUAUGUUGGGCCUUUAACCAGUGACAUUAAAUCAUACAAGUUCUUCUUUCCUAUCCUUAGCUAAACCCCUUGAACUCUGACUGUUGGUCUGCUCUUUGUCUACAAACAUGAGGCUGUUUUCGACUGCUCUUGUUUGAGAAACAUUAGCACACAAAGGGAGCCCCCACAUCCCAUGAGCCUCAGACUACUGAGGGAGUUGUCUUCCUUAAGUACAUAGGCGCUUUAAAUGUCUCUCUGCAACCAAUUAUAAAAAAGACAGGGAUUUUAAUGAUGUUCUUCCGUAUUUUCCCAGAUAACAGUGGUGGUUCACUGAAGUAUGCAAACUGACCAUAUCUCGUUUUCCCUUGGUGAGCAGGCUCUAGGUUCUCUCCUGCUGGCGCCUGGACCAGGACAAGAAGGAAACAUUAGGUGAAAGAGAGCCCAGCUGACGAGCUGCCUAGGAAGACAGGAAGCCCAGACCCACACCUCAGCAAUCUACCGGCCGCCCCAUCCGCGUGGAGGGGGAGCCACACCCACCACAUCCGGCAUCACAGCUGUCCCUCCAAGUUCAGAUAACCCACGUCCGCAGCCCAACAUGGGGCCUUCUUCAAGGAGAAGUCCGAACUUUAAUGUGAAAUCUUUCAUAAGAAAAGUAUGGGUACCAAUUUUUUUUAAAUCCGGGAGUGGGUAUCAUCUACAUCUGAGACUGAAUUAGCCUGCAGGUCACUUGCUUUAGAACUUUGGUGAAAGAGAAAGUGCUACGAACAUUGAUGCCACAUGGGUAUCAACUACCCUCUUGCCAGCCUCUGCCCAAGAGAAGCAGAACUUGCCAACGUUCUGAGCUUCUCUGGAAUCAACUCAUAUCACAGCACUGGCCAACAGUGUCGUUUUCACUAAAGGUUUUGGAGAAUCGAGGGACAGGGAGUGUAUUGUAUGUACAUAUACUCAUUAAAAACAAGGCACACUGUAUUAAAUAGCCCCCAUUAUAUACUUCUUGGCUUCCAUCUUUCCUACACAACUGCUCUGCUUGGGGUGUAGAGAAGAAUGGUGGUGGUCGUGAUUUUUCUCCCCCCUGACCUUCACACAAGCCCCAGGCAGCUGGGUUUAUGUCCUCCCUGUCUCUCUCAGGGAACUCCCACCCCCCUGCAUGAAGCAGAGCAAUCCAGCUCGCCCUGCACCUGAGCCUCUGGGCACUCGGUGCUGGAGCUGCUGAGAGGAGAUAAGUAACUUCUUUCUAGUUGUGGUAGAAACCAGCAGCCAAUGUCCGUAUCUAAUGUUGGGCAUUCACAGCCCAUGUUUUCCAGUUUUCUGCUGUCCAAUUCACGGGCUGCACUUGCCUGAUUUUUUUUUAAUUUUUCUUACAGCAGCAGCUGCAACUACUGCCCUACCCACUCUCCCUUGGCUUUGCCAUGUCUGUCACACUGGGCACGGGCCUGACUUCCGUCAGCACCUGCUCCGGCUGCCGGAGCCCUCAGCCACGCUGCAGGCACUUCCUCUACCAGCAGCCCAUGAAAACAGCAGCAGGUGGGAAGCGUGUGAGGCCUGUGCUCUACGCUGCUUCCCGGAAUUCCUCAGUGGGAUUAAGCUCCAGCUACCCUGGCUGGUAACCUGUGGACAGUGAACCCUUUACUAGCUUUCUUGGCUUUUCCUUCUCACAAGUUUACUGAUGUUUCCCUGAACCACCUCCGACUUACAUUCUAAUGUCCACCUCUAGAUUUCUAGGGGAACCUAACCUGUAAAAUCUCCUCCAGCCAAAUGCCAUGUUAAUAAAAUCAAUUCGGCAUGGAAUUUAGUUAGCCCUCAGUGAUCUUAAAGGCACGCUGCAGAAUCUAGCACCCAGGCACCGCACUUCUUACUACAAAGAAAAACCCACUCCAACAGUAGCCUGGCCUUAAUAAUCGUCCCAGGCUAUUAGAAAAGGGCAUUCUUCUCUCCAAUUUGAAUUUUAAUAAGUCAAGCUGACCCUGUGGAUAUAGGAAGACGCAGUGGGUCAGUGCAGCGCAUUGCUGUGUGCAAUGGGGAAAGUGUGCUAGGUGACCUUAGGAGCAGGAAGAUGGCCCAGCUGCCUGGUAGAGUGAAGGACGGACUUCCCUGGGGAAGCCAAUGCAGAACAGAAUUGUGAAGGGGCAAUUCCCUAGAGAUGUGGAGGAGGAAGGGGAGGUGUGAGAAGACAGAAGACAUUUACUGCAGAAAGAACAGAACAUGCAAAGGAAUGAAGGCAUGAAAUAGCAAGGUGCAUUUAAGAAGCAUGGCAUGAGGGUCCCUCAAAAGGGAGUGAAUGAAGUUGAGUUUUAAAAGAUGGGAGGAGCCAAGUCACAGUUGGGUAAUACCAUGCAAAGAAUUUGGAAUUUACAUUUUAGGCAAGAUGAAGUUAUUGAAAAAUUUUAAAAAGGGCAGUAAUACAAUGAAUGAUUAAAAUCACAAUGAGAUAGCACCUCAUACCU